rnacentral:rRNA from 1 species
GAAUAUUGGACAAUGGGGGGAACCCUGAUCCAGCCAUGCCGCGUGUGUGAAGAAGGCCUUUUGGUUGUAAAGCACUUUAAGCGAGGAGGAGGCUCCUCUAGUUAAUACUUAGAGAGAGCGGACGUCACGCGAAGAAUACGCACCGGCUAACUCUGUGCCAGCAGCCGCGGUAAUACAGAGGGUGCAAGCGUUAAUCGGAUUUACUGGGCGUAAAGCGCGCGUAGGUGGCCAAUUAAGUCAAAUGUGAGAUCCCCGAGCUUAACUUGGGAAUUGCAUUCGAUACUGGUUGGCUAGAGUAUGGGAGAGGAUGGUAGAAUUCCAGGUGUAGCGGUGAAAUGCGUAGAGAUCUGGAGGAAUACCGAUGGCGAAGGCAGCCAUCUGGCCUAAUACUGACACUGAGGUGCGAAAGCAUGGGGAGCAAACA